AUCUCUACUUGGAAAUUAUCUCCUUUGGAACGUUUGCUGAGCUCUGAUCCUUGGAAAGGGGGUUCAGUUUAGAAGAAGCAGAGUUUGACUACCGAGAGCUGCCAGAGAAAGUUCACUCAGCAUAGAUAGGACGGAAAAAGCAAACCUAGGAGCAUCGUGGGAGUCCAGAGAGAUGGUGAAAAAACAGUCUUUUAAACGUCAAACUUCUGUGUGGAUCCAAACCCUGCACCCCCCUUUCCAUGGGCACAGUCGGCACCGGCUGUGCCUGAGAAAAAAUCAGUCGAGCAGUACAACUGCCUGCCAAUACUUCACAUAGAGGCACGGGUGUGACUGUGUGUUGCAAGUCCAGACGGACGCUAUACGAUAAAGCUUCCCAGUGUGGCGCUUGAUCUGGGACUAUGAUCAGUAAAAAGCCUCAUCCUAUGGUGGUAGUGGGAGAGCCGACAGCAUUGAGGAUGAUCUGUAGAGUGAGCAUCCGCUCCCUUGCCCUCAGGCAGACUGGGGGUAUCAGAUUGAGAUCUAAGUGGCUCUUUAAGGCUUCAAAAAUCUUUCUCCAAGUCUGGAACAACCGGAAUGCUGUGUUAUCACCCUUAGUAGCAGCGCCCCAUAGCCUCACUGCGAUCCGGUCCCAUACUUCAGGAUCGUAAACUUAUUUGUGAUCGAGGGGUCACUCUUGGUAGCCCAUACAACCAUUUGCUGCAAAAUGGCAGUGGGCCCCAUUUUUUAAGAAUAAUUUGAAAAGUAACUAGAACAUUCUUUUGUUCCGAAGUCAUAUUAUAACGCAGUCGCUUACCUUUGUCCAGCGAAAUGCAAUCAGAGCGGUUGGGGAUGAAUCUUCAGGUUGCAGCGUUUAUCUCAACGCAUUCUUUUACAAAUUAUUCUGCAUUUCUCUCAACGCCUGCCACAUUUCUCUCAGUGUGCUCCGCAUUUCUCUCAACGUUCUCUAGACCGGUCAGUCUUCAAGUCAGGUUACGCUUCAGGUCCCUGUUCCUUCUUGCCCCUCUUCGCUCGUGUCUCUGUUCGUUCUCUUUCUCGAGUCCUGUUCGUUCAAGUCCCUGUUCGUUCAAGUCCCUGUUCGUUCAAGUCCCUGUUCGUUCUCUUUCUCGAGUCCUGUUUGUUCGUGUCUUUCUUCGUUUUUGUCCCUGUUCAUUCCGGUCCCUGUUCGGGUGCCGAUUGUUGCAAUAGGGCAUCGUGCUCCCUUGCCAGUGUGGCGAAAGAGGUGUGGAUUUCUUCGCUGGUGCAGAACAAAGGCGUUUAUUGUAGAUGCUUAGAGCCUUAUAUACUCGCGCAACACAACAGUUUUCCCACGCGACCAAGACUAGUUACAUAUAAGGGCUAGGCGCCUUGUGGGUGUUUACAUCUGGCCCAAAUUAUUGUUGAGCUUUACCACUCAUUAGCAAUACAACGACCUGCUUUAUCCCACAUAGUCCAGCAUGUGGUUGGCUUUCUGGACUGUGAGGGCAUGUUGCUGGCUGAAAUCCAGCUUACUAUUCACUAGUACCCCAAGUCCUUUUUGGUAGGUACAGAUCCCUUGACCUACACGAAAAGUUUUUAUUUUGACUUUUAAAAAUUGCUCUACAGUUCUCUUCAAUAUAUUGACAGUGUGAGUUGUUAAUUACUACCUCCUUCCCUCCAGCCUUCUUUAUGUCUUCCUACAAAGUAAAAACAAAAACCAAACCAAAGGAAAGCAAAACUCAGUUUCUUUUCACAUAAUCUCUGCUUUUAUGAAAAUGUUGAAGGAAUCAAACUUUGUCUUCCUCAGCAGUCUCCACUGGCGAUUUCCUUUAUUUAUUUAUUUAUUUAUUUAUUUAUUUUUCCUGUAAGAUUCCUAAGUAUCUAUUUCUUGAUUUUCCAACAAAAAAUACUGGCACGGAAUGUAUGAGAAAUGUUGUGUGGAAGAAAAUAAUUUCAUUUAAUGUAUUUUCUCUUUUAUUUGUAAUUAAAACAAAGUAUCUCCUGUG
ensembl:lncRNA